UUUUGGUAUUAUAUCCAGGAAUUACUUUUGAAAAGCAAAAAGGAAAUGUUUAAAAGGAUAGCACACUGUCAUUAGUCAUAGAACAUGUAUGCAUAAAUGUAUUGGUCAUUUUCCAAUUUCAGCCAGUUGAAGUUUAGUUUAGAAAAGAGAGUGAGCUACCUGAAGGAGCAUUUGGGGUAGGAUGCUACAAUGAGCAAAGAGACUUUUACCAAUAUUAGAGCUAUAACUGUCUGACAGGGAAAAGGAGAAGAGUUAUAGGAGCAGGAGAGUGAUGUGUUGAGAAGAAGCAGCACAAAUGUUACCUAUUUCACAAUUUUAACUACUCUGAUGAAACGGUCUUACUGAAAUGUGGUGAAAGCAAAUGUCAUUAAAAAUCUGUACAGUACUUUAAAAAAAAUAUCCUUCAGACUCCUUGGUUCAGUACUGUGAAUUAGGGAGGCAUGCCAUACGUGAAAGCAUUAUAAAAGUGCUACAUAAGAUUGUAUUAUUAUUGCUAAUGUGUUUGUUCAACAAAUAAGCAUAUGAAAUUGGAGCACAAGAAUACAGACCUAGGAGGGAGGUAACAGACAUGGAAAGGCCCCACUCAGAUCUCCUUCUCCUUUCCAGGAAAGACUUACAGCUGUCAGGAGUAUAAUGUGCAGAUAUCCUCUAGCUGUAGCUUUCUCAGAUUUGGUCUCAUUACAGAAAGCCCCUCACCUCAGGUCAUGACCUUUGGGUGCAUUUGGUGUCUAAGUGAGGUGAGAAUAUAAAAACCAGGCCAUUUUGACCCAAUGUAGAACACCCUUGUUGGUAGUGUUUGUUCUAAAGCUUUCUUGAGUCUGUACUGCAGUUUAACUUCUUCCACUGCUUAAUCCACUCUCUGCGUCUUCCUUUCACAGGUGUUGAUCCUGAAUAAACAUCUUACAGCCAAACUUCGACUCAAUAUCUGCCUCCAAAGAACCCAACCUGUGACAGGUGAUUUUAGAGAUUACCUAACCCAAACUCUUUUUGAAAUAAUAAAGUUUAUUUUUUCCAAAUUCAAAAUUAUUAUUCUUUUAGAAUGAGGUGAAUAUUCAAGUAGAAAGAAAAACAUCACUCACAAUGUUUGGAGACCACUUGCCAUAAUUGUGAGAUUAAUUCCCUUUGGGUCAUAUGCGUAGAAAACCUGAAACUGUAAAGUGUAAAGCUCUUCUCAUCAGCUCACCGGUAUUCCUUACUCUCUGGCCUGGAAUGCCAACCCCCAAAGGAUGCUUUUAUGAAGAAAAAAGGACGCAAGUGGUGAUGGCAAAAGACACAGAGAUUCCUCCCUGGAGAGCAGUAGAGAUCAGGAGGCAGUGGUCUCGACGAAAACCAGCAGGAGUGAAUAGGGACCCAUGUACUAGGUGGAUCCAUGUAUUUCCAACAUGGUGCGAUGUGUGUGUGGUAGCAGUGGACCCAAACACCACAGAAAACUUGAGGCAGCCACACAAUGGUGUGAUUUCAGUCUAUAACAAUGUUCCAUAACCACCUUAUUUUUUCCUUAAUAUAUCAUGCAUUUUCCAUGUAUUAAAAAUGUAUGUGUGAUUUAAAUCGUUUAUAUUAUGUUAAAUAAAGUAUAUAGAUUCUGA